AUUGAACGCUGGCGGCAGGCCUAACACAUGCAAGUCGAGCGAGCGGCGGAGGGGUGAGUAAUGUAUGGGGACUGCCCGAUAGAGGGGGAUAACUACUGGAGACGGUAGCUAAUACCGAAUACUAUAGGAUUAGACAUAUGGGAUUGGCUAGUAGGUGAGGUAAUGGCUCACCUAGGCGACGAUCCCUAGCUGGUCUGAGAGGAUGAUCAGCCACACUGGAACUGAGACACGGCCCAGACUCAUACGGAGGCAGCAGUGGGGAAUAUUGCACAAUGGGCGCAAGCCUGAUGCAGCCAUGCCGCGUGUAUGAAGAAGGCCCUAGGGUUGUAAAGUACUGUCAGUAGGGAGGCGUUACCGACAGAAGAAGCACCGGCUAACUCCGUGCCAGCAGCCGCGGUAAUAC
rnacentral:rRNA from 1 species